rnacentral:rRNA from 1 species
ACGGAAGGCAGCAGUGAGGAAUAUUGGUCAAUGGGCGUGAGCCUGAACCAGCCAAGUAGCGUGAGGGAUGACUGCCCUAUGGGUUGUAAACCUCUUUUGUUUGGGAAUAUAGUCAGGGACGCGUCCCUGUUUGUAUGUACCUUUCGAAUAAGCAUCGGCUAAUUCCGUGCCAGCAGCCGCGGUAAUACGGAAGAUGCGAGCGUUAUCCGGAUUUAUUGGGUUUAAAGGGAGCGUAGGCGGACUGUUGGGUCUGUGGUCAAAUGUCAGGGCCCAACCUUGGCAUGCCAUGGAAACCGGCGGUCUUGAAUACACGCAAGGCAGAUGGAAUUCGUCGUGUAGCGGUGAAAUGCUUAGAUAUGACGAAGAACUCCGAUUGCGAAGGCAGUCUGCCGGAGUGCGAUUGACGCUGAGGCUCGAAAGCGCGGGUAUCAAACAGGAUUAGAUACCCUGGUA